rnacentral:rRNA from 1 species
AUUGAACGCUGGCGGCAUGCCUUACACAUGCAAGUCGAACGGCAGCGGGGGAGAAGCUUGCUUUUCCUGCCGGCGAGUGGCGAACGGGUGAGUAAUACAUCGGAACGUGCCCUGUAGUGGGGGAUAACUAGUCGAAAGAUUAGCUAAUACCGCAUACGACCUGAGGGUGAAAGUGGGGGACCGCAAGGCCUCAUGCUAUAGGAGCGGCCGAUGUCUGAUUAGCUAGUUGGUGGGGUAAAGGCCUACCAAGGCGACGAUCAGUAGCUGGUCUGGGAGGACGAUCGACCACGCUGGGACUGGGACACGGCCCAGACUCCUACGGGAGGCAGCAGUGGGGAAUUUUGGACAAUGGGCGAAAGCCUGAUCCAGCAAUGCCGCGUGUGUGAAGAAGGCCUUCGGGUUGUAAAGCACUUUUGUCCGGAAAGAAAUGGCUCUGGUUAAUACCUGGGGUCGAUGACGGUACCGGAAGAAUAAGGACCGGCUAACUACGUGCCAGCCGCCGCCGUAA